GCUGAUGUAGCUCAGUCGGUAGAGCACUUCCUUGGUAAGGAAGAGGUCAUCGGUUCAAGUCCGAUCAUCAGCUCCA
rnacentral:tRNA from 1 species